UUCAGUUCAGAGAGACCCUGCGCUGCUUUGGAGAGCUCACCAUGGCCUGGGCUCUGCUUUUCUUUGCCCUUCUCCAUUACGGUUCAGGGGUCAAUUCACAAGCAACAGUGACACAGCCAGCCUCCCAGUCUGUGUCCUUAGGUGAAACAACUAAACUUCUCUGCUCUAAAAGUAGUGGGAGCUGGCUCAGCUUUUACUGGUAUCAACAGAAACCUGGCCAGGCUCCUCGCUUUGUGUUUGCUGGUACCAGCACCCGGGGAGAAGGGAUCCCGGAUCGGUUCAUUGCCUCUAUCUCUGGGAACAAUGGCUAUUUAACCAUCUCCAACACCCAGGCUGAAGAUGAGGCCGUUUAUUACUGUGCUGACUGGGAGUACACUGGUGGUAGCAAGUUCCACAGUGAUACAAUCUGA